rnacentral:sRNA from 1 species
GGAGAGAAAGACGCACGCUUCCCGCCAUUUUGUUGAGCUCGCCGCGCAACCGGCCCCUGCUGGGGACUACAAGUCCCGUGAGCCUCCGCGGCAGCACGUCCUACCCAACACUGUCCAGCCCGCUCCCUUUUUCCCCCUCCCCGGGGGCCGAGGGCUCCGGCUGCUGCCUGGCGGCCAACGGACCAGGUAGGAUUUCCGGGAGAGGCUGCUGUGGAGGCUGAGGAGGCGGCGGCGGAGACCUGGAAACAAUAUCUCACCUCCCUAAACUGGUUAAUAGUGGCAUGGAAGAUCCAUUUGAGAUGGGGUUUUACCAUGUUACCCAGGCUGGUCUUGAACUCCUGGACUCAAGCGACCCCCGCUUGGCCUCCCAAAGUGCUGGGAUUAGAGGCGUGAGCCACUGCACCCGACCUAAGACUUCUCCAGAGAACCUUGGAACAGUAGAGGAAGCAGACCAGCCCGCUACAGAGCCAGGCAUGGUCAUGGACAGUGUGGAAGCAGGAGACACAACACCUCCUACCAAAAGGAAGAGCAAGUUCUCAGGCUUUGGCAAGAUCUUCAAGCCAUGGAAAUGGAGGAAAAAAAAGAGUAGUGAUAAA